rnacentral:rRNA from 1 species
GACGAACGCUGGCGGCGUGCUUAACACAUGCAAGUCGAACGGAAUGGCGAACGGGUGAGUAACACGUGGGUGACCUGCCCUGCACUUCGGGACAACCCUGGGAAAAUGGGUCGUAUCCCGGUGAGUGUGGGAUGGGGCCGCGGCCUAUAAGCUUGUUGGGGGGGUAAUGGCCUACGAAGGCGGCGACGGGUAGCCGGCAUGUGGGGGUGGACGGCCACAUUGGGACUGAGACAGGGCCCAGACGCCUACGGGAGGCAGGAGUGGGGAAUAUUGCACAAUGGGCGGAAGCCUGAUGCAGCGACGCCGCGUGGGGGAUGACGGCCUUCGGGUUGUAAACUCCUUUCACCAUCGACGCGGUAGAUGGAUAAGAAGCACCGGCUAACUACGUGCCAGCAGCCGCGGUAAUAC